CUUACCAACCUCCAUGUUCCUUCUUGGACCAUGGAGAGUGAAGAUACUGGACUUGACAGUAAUCUGGCAGGUGAGGACUUUGGCUGGUUUUAUAUAUAUUUUUAAUAAGCAAAAUCAUAAUGUAAAAUUGAUAUAGCAAUUCACAGCUACUUUAUUUCAGGUGAUUUCACCAUUUUGCAUGCUUUUGCAACAUAUACCAGCAUUAAAGCACUACACUCCAGAGUUGGAGUCAACUGCAUUUUUAGAGAAUGGUCAUCAACUGUUCGGUGGAUUUCUCUACAGGCACAAUCCAGUGAAAAGCUGACCGAGGAGCAAGUUUUUGAUCCACUUAUUUAGUGGAAAGCACUGCACUCAAUGUCAGGAACCCAUUCCAGCCAUUCACUCUCUCAGUUUUAAGAAAUAACCUCUCUGGUUUGUCUUAUUGGGAAGCAAAUACUUUCUGAGCAUCUACAUACAUGUAUCAGGCAUCAAGUUCGCCACUGGGAAUAUUGUCAUGACGGCAGGUUUUGGUGAUGUAAAAUGAAUGAAUCACAGUCCUGGUCCUCAAAGAUAGCCAUACUGAAGGAGAUGGACAUGAACAUAAAGAACCUCCAUGCUGAAUGAGAAGCCCAUCACAGCCCAUGAUGACCUGUAUAAUGUGCUUCUGGGAGAAAAGAAGUCUCAAAACCUAAGGGAGAUACCCAGAGUAAUUUCUCUAAGGAGUUGUUUGAGAUUGAUUGAAGACCUCAAUUGUGAGAAAAAACAAACUCAGAGAGGGCAGAGAAAGGCAACUGAGACCUUGCCAUACAAUGCCUUGGUGGGAUGGACUUUCUGAACCCAUAAAGUUACUGGAGAAGGGUGUGUCUCUCAUAUCUGAGUACUUCACAGAAAUAUGCAUAUUUAAGACUCAAG
rnacentral:lncRNA from 10 species